rnacentral:rRNA from 1 species
UACGUAGGGUGCGAGCGUUGUCCGGAAUUAUUGGGCGUAAAGAGCUUGUAGGCGGUUUGUCGCGUCUGCUGUGAAAAUCCGGGGCUCAACCCCGGACUUGCAGUGGGUACGGGCAGACUAGAGUGUGGUAGGGGGAGACUGGAAUUCCUGGUGUAGCGGUGGAAUGCGCAGAUAUCAGGAGGAACACCGAUGCGAAGGCGGCUCUCUGGGACGGUACUGACGCUGAGACGCGAAAGCGUGGGGGAGCGAACAGG